GAUGAAGAACGUAGCGAAAUGCGAUAAGUAGUGUGAAUUGCAGAAUUCAGUGAAUCAUCGAAUCUUUGAACGCACAUUGCGCCCGCCAGCAUUCUGGCGGGCAUGCCUGUUCGAGCGUCAUUUCAACCCUCGAGCCCCCCCGGGGGCCUCGGUGUUGGGGGACGGCACACCAGCCGCCCCCGAAAUGCAGUGGCGACCCCGCCGCAGCCUCCCCUGCGUAGUAGCACACACCUCGCACCGGAGCGCGGAGGCGGUCACGCCGUAAAACGCCCAACUUUCUUAGAGUUGACUUCGGAUCAGGUAGGAAUACCCGCUGAACUUAAGCAUAUCAAUAAGCGGAGGA
rnacentral:misc_RNA from 1 species